AUGCAAGUGCCGGAGCAGGACCUGAUGAGCCCUGGCGGCGCUUCGUCGUCGCUGUUGUUCCCCACCUCCUCGCUGCCACGCGAGGGUCGGAUGAUCACCGUGCUGAGCAUCGACGGCGGCGGCGUGCGCGGGAUCAUCCCCGGCACCAUCCUCGCUUUCCUCGAACAAAAACUCCAGGAGAUUGAUGGGUCGCCGGACGCGAGGAUCGCGGAUUACUUCGACGUGGUCGCCGGAACGAGCACCGGUGGUCUGGUGGCCACCAUGCUCACCGCGCCCAACACCCAGCGCCGCCCGCUCUACGCCGCCAAGGACAUCAAUAAAUUUUACCUCGAGCACUGCCCGAAUAUCUUCCCUGCCGUCUGCAAAGGGCUGGGCUUAUUCAAGAGCAUGAUGGGACCCAAGUACAGUGGCCAGCACCUGCACUCAAUCCUGAAGAAGCAGCUCGGUGACACACGAAUCAGUCAGACACUCAAGAGCAUCGUCAUCCCCACUUUCGACAUCAAGCUCCUUCAACCUAUCAUCUUCUCAACCUACGACGCCAAGAAGGAUGUCUCCAAGGAUGCUCUUCUGUCGGAUGUCUGCAUCAGCACGUCCGCCGCUCCAACCUACCUCCCCGGGCACCAUUUCAAGACCAAGGACAAAGACGGCAAGACCCGGGCCUUUAACCUCAUCGACGGGGGUGUCGCAGCCAACAAUCCGACCCUUGUGGCGAUCACCCACGUAAGCAAGCAGAUCAUAAAGAAGAAACAGAAUCUCGGUAAGUUCAUGGUCCUCUCGCUGGGCACUGGCACCGCCAAGGUCAAAGAGAACUUCGACGCUGCCGAGUGCAGCAAGUGGGGCCUUCUCGGGUGGCUCUAUAACGGGGGCACCACGCCGAUCAUCGACAGCUUCUGCCAGGCCAGCGCCGACCUCGUCGAUAUCCAGGCAUCCGUGCUUUUCGAGGCGCUACAGUGCGACAUGCACUACUUGCGGAUCCAGGAUGAGCUCCCGGGCGAAACGGCCUCCGUGGACGUGUCCACGACAGAGAACCUCAAAAGGCUCAUUGAUGUUGGCAAGGCAUUGCUGAAGAAGCAGGCGUGCAAGGUGGACAUCGAGACAGGCAAGAACAAGGACGACCUAGAGAGGGGCACCAACGAGGAAGAACUUACCCAUUUCGCCCGCAUGUUGUCGCACGAGCGCAAAGCCAGACUUGGGGAGGCGGGUCUCAAAACUUAG
rnacentral:rRNA from 1 species